AGAGGCUAGGGACCACACCUACACUGAGGUGGGCCUGCGCAAUAACCCCACCCCUACCCACUACCUGGAUGAUGGCCUGUAUGAAAGCGUAGGUGUCCGGGAAGGUGACACAGCCCCUAAGGCACCGUCAGCGCCACCAACCACUUCAGCUAAUACUCCAGCUACAGUGAGGGCUGCUCAGAGUCCUUCAGCUCAUACCAAUGGAGGCCGUAAUGGAAAUGGGAAUGGUGGCAGAGGGAAUGGCAGAGGAAAUGGUACCAUUAAUGGACCAAUGUCAGGAAGAGGUAAUGGGGCGAGUGGGGUCAACAGGUCCCCUCUGUCUUCUGUCAACUCCCUGGCCAUUCAAGAUCCAUCUGCUGCAGAGUAUGCUUCUAUACGGAAGUUCAGAAAGGUUGACAAGGUAAACAGGAAGGAAAAUAACGGGGCCGACAGCCAGUCAGACCAAUCGAGUGUGAGUGAUUCACCUUCUGCUGCUCCUCCUCCUCUACACCGCAGUCAGGAGUUUCCACGUAAACCACUGGAGCCAUUUAACCUGCACUCCUUCCCAAAGGAAGCGGUGUUCAUGGGCAACGGGGAGCAGUACAUCUGGAAGCCUCCAGAGGAAGAUGACAUCAUCACCUUGCACCCUCCUCCACUCCGUGGAGAGAAUGGACAGGGUCACCCAUCUCCUCCAACUGCAAAGGAGAUUGCAGACACCUACUCUAUUGUUUGUAAAACCCAGAAAAAGAAGCCUCCUAUGGAGCACAAUGGAGCAAAGACCCUCCCACGCUCCUUUGGUGGGGACAGAGCUAGGGGCCGUGGCAGAGGAGUCCAAGGCCAGGCACGUUCCCAGGAGGAGCCCUGCUAUGAGCCUGUAGGAGACAGGUCCUGGUCCUCUACAGUGGCUGAUUCUGACCCUGCGUAUGCUAGUAUCGAUGCCCACUGGAAACGUGAGCAGGGGGGAACCAAUAACAGCACAAUUGGGGGUAAUGCCACCUUGAAGAGAAAGAAGCAGAUGCCACAACAACAACAACAACAACAACAACAACAACAGCAGCAGCAGCAGCAACAGCAGCAGCAGCAGCAGGCAGCACCAGCGGCACCUCAAGCCUCAGGACCUAACGCCCCUCCUGUCAGAGGCCUGCCUGGUGGGGAAAACUUCUAUGAGACCAUCAGUGAUGUUAAACAAGGGGCCACCAGCUCCAGCACUACCACCAUCUUCACCUUCAAUGAUGGGAUGGAGAUGUAUGUCACUGGCCUGUAGCUGGCUGACAGGCACAAAGGGCCCAGAAGUUGUAGGGAUCCUACCGUUUACUGGCUAGCAGGUUCCUGUACAUAGCCACAAGGCCCUCUAUGGUAAAACAACAUGAGGAUCCAUUUGUGUUGACAUCAGGUACAAACAGGGUCUUAAUCCAGGUUCAGACUUCCCUUGAUUGGUCUGUACUUCAGAACCAGCCUAAGACUAGUCCAGCCCAAAUAUGGACCAAAUACAUUUGAACAAAAAAAAAGGAAAAAAUCUAACUGGAAUAUACAUUUUCAAUCUACUGUGUCAAUGACCAUCGUCACCUGUUUGUGCAUCAUUUUCCAUAAUAUCUUUAUUUUUAUAUGAACACUGUACUCUUUAAAGAGUAUGUGGUGUAAUGUAACCUGAGAAGAGUACACUUUAAUAUAAUAUGAAAAAAAGAAAUGUGCAUGCAUUGUGCAAACACACAUGAAAAUAGGUGGUAGUAGCAAUGACACUGGCUGUAUUAAGAGUAAGAGGCACAAUGUAAGAUAUUGUUACCAAUAUACAAACACAGACACACCCACAAGCCUCUUCUUGUGGGGACUUAUGUAUUAUAAGCAUAUGGAUGUCACAAAGAUUUGCGGUGCUUAGCUCUCCCAAAGCAAACAACUGAAACAGGUUCUCUGUGCGCACUGACCUGUUGCCUGGCAGACACCAUUGUGGUGCAGUGUUCAAGCAUAGGCCUAUAAUUUAUAGACCUCCUCAAACACACACGUAAGUGAAGGCUAUUGUCUUUAUUCUAGGAAUCAGUGUGCCCUAAGAUAAUUAGCAGCUUUCAGGAACAGCCUCAUGAUCACUAUUAGGUGUGAUUUUUUGCUCAAUAUGUAAGCUUCAUUUAAACUAAGAGAUUAGUUUGAAAAAAAAAAACACUCAAAUUUGACAAACAUCUGCAGCCAGAGGCAUGUUGACACACCCCAGCACAACCCCACACAGAUACACACAUAUUUGGCGGAGUCAUGCGGGGUAAAGCGAUCAGGUCAGGGGCACCGAGUGGCUUGUGCAAGAAUUUCCCCAGAGUGAUAUUUGUGACAGAUUUUGCAAUGCAAGACCUUUACUGUAUGACUGAGGAAAAUGAGGGAACGAUAUUUUCAAAAAAAUAAGGAAGUGAAACCGUUUCCAAAAUACAACAGGAUACUUCAUCCAUUGCAGUUAAUAGGUCAUGUCUUUUGGGCAUUGUAAACAUCUGAUUUUACAACCAUUGUAAUUUUGCACUGGACAGCUGCAGGACUGUUGGGCUUAAUUAUGCAUUAACAUGCAGUAAGCAGUGUAUCCGAGCACAGCGAAAGCCAGAGCUCCCCCAUAACUCAGUAGACUUAAGUCUGGUGGUUGAAAUAGCAACAGAAGGGUCGGACUCCAAGGAAAAUAAAGAGCCGGGCAUUAAAAUUACUAGUGAGUGU
rnacentral:lncRNA from 1 species